UCCUAUGAAACUAAGGAUACUGAUAUCUUGGCAGCAUUCCGAGUAAGUCCUCAGCCUGGGGUUCCGCCCGAAGAAGCAGGGGCUGCAGUAGCUGCCGAAUCUUCUAGUGGUACAUGGACAACUGUUUGGACUGAUGGACUUACCAGGCAGAACGGGAUUUUUCCACUUCACACCCACACAAUCGGGAUUUGA
rnacentral:rRNA from 1 species